UAGCCGCGUUUCCGAGAAAUGAAAACGAAACCUCUCGCCUAUCUAUUUUCUGUCAACUGUUAGACGAGUUUAGGUAUCCAGCGGGCUGCAACUCUUCGCAUUUCCAGAUGUUCAGUAAGAUAAAGAAUAACGAAGACGGUGCCGGAACUAACCUCAAAGACAUCUGCUAAUUCCGGGAGUGACACGGCCAUCACUUUCCUGCAGGACGUUCGUCAUCCAUUAUAGAGUCUCUACCACAAGAAAAUCGUUUAAUGCCAUUUAUACACUAAAGCAUGAUUCACUUUUGACAUAUCCACUUCUUCAAGCGUUCAAACAGUUUCUAUUAGAGAUUUUCUGAGUGCGACAUAAAAUUUUAUGACCAUUCUGUUCCGUGAUUUCACGGUACGUCAUAUGUAUAAGAAAGAAAACUACCUGUCUUCUGUAAUCGAUAUCCAUUACACGCCUUGCCAUAUUACGUCAACACUUUGCUUGUAAAAUGAAGUAAUAAUUUUCUUCUAAUAAACGUAUGAAUUUUAUUUUGUUUUAACGCCAAUUUUGAGAUAUUUUAUAAAUUGACAAUUAGAAUUGUA